CCAAUGGGGUUGGCGGGAGACGGCACAGCGGAAGGGGUGGAGCUUCAGUUAGGGACCGGAAGAGAGGGCCUCUGGGGGAGGGGGGGAAAGAGAACGGAAGAGGGGGCGGGCUCUCGGGGGGGGGGGGGAAGGACCGCGAGAAGGGGCGGGCCCUCGGGGGAGGGACCGGAAGAGGGGGUGAGCUUUUGAGGGAAGGACCGGAAGAGGGUGUGGCCUUCGGGGAGGGGCCGGAAAAGGCGGGCGGGCCGUAGAGGAGGGUCCGGAAGAAGAGGAGGAGGAAGGAGGUGGGAGCACGGGGGAGGUACCUAUGGGAGAAAAGGGCAGGAGGGAGGCGUGGUUCCGGGUCUUGCAAACUCUUGCACUGCCCGCCGCUUUUCCUCAGUGUCUUCCAAAAACUGGAGGUGGUGAAGUUUCCUUCCGUCCAUCUUACAAAUGAGGAAACUAAGCUCCUCGAAGGCGGAGUGCUGGUUGGGGGCAAAAGACCCUGACUGGACGUAAAGAGGACGCUCUGUGGCCCUUGUCUGUCACACACAACUGUACGACCUCGUGGUAUCGGGAAACAGCUCAUGCCCAGGAUGGAGGAAAGAAGACGGGAAGAGGGCCUCCAUACUGUUCAGGUUCCAGCCAAAGGAGUUAGCAGGCUACUUGUGGUUUUCCGGAGGCAAAGACUGCCGUCAGACUCCCGAGUUUCCACCAGUUCAUUUCAGGCAACCGCAGAACAAAUGGGUGUAACCACAACUUGGACAAAGGAAGAAAAAGGAAAGAAAUGCCUCCACAAACGUGAUAGAACUACUCUUGACAUUUUGUGAUAUGUCCUUUCCAGAGUCUCCCCCGUCUGUGGCUUUCUAGUUUUAUAUAGUUAUAAGUAGUUCACAACUACAGUCUCAUGGCCUGCCGCUUUUCGCUUGGCUUUGUCACACAUGUAUUUUUAUGGCAUGGUCUUUCACCAUCUCUGAGGUUUUGAGAGCUGUGUAUUUUAUUGGGUGAAUGUCCCAUCGUUCGCUUAAAUAUUCUUUUUUUUCUCAUUAACUCCAAUCAGUUGUGUAAUAAAGAUAUUUAUUAUUUAUUUUCUUGUGUUUUAUUCUGCUGUCAUUAUUUUUACCCAUGCUGUUUGCCUUUUAAUUUUUAUCCUUUUCUUUAAAUGGUCACAUUAGUCACAUUAGUUAAGUAUGGGCGGGGUGGUGUGGCGGGGGAGCGCCUGGUCAGUGGAGAGCAUGACACUUGAUUUCAGAGUUGGGAGUUUGAGCCCCAUGCUGGGUGUAGAGAUUAGUUAAAAAAAAGAAGAAGAAGAAAGAAGAAAGAAGAAGAAGAAGAAAUUUCACCUGAAACUGAUGUUACACUGUAUGUUAAGUAACUGGAAUUUAAAUAAAUUAAAAAAAAUUAAGUAUGGACUGGAAAUGUUAAACAUUUUCCUCUGGGGAAUUACCCCAUUGCUUCUGAAGUUGGACUGUCCUUUCUUUUAUUCUAACACCCCCUCAUCACCUCCAGUUUCUAUAUGGCUCUUAAAAAUUGCUCUGGAAUUGGGGCGGCUGGGUGGCUCAGUUGGUUAAGCGUCUGCCUUUGGCUCAGGUCAUGAUCCCGGGGUCCUGGGACCCAGCCCCGCAGGGAGCUCUCUGCUCGGUGGGGAGCCUGCUUCCCCUCUCCCUCUGUCUGCUGCUCUGCCUACUUGUGCUCUAUCAAAUGAAUAAAUAAAAUCUUUUUAAAAAAUUGCUCUGGAAUUAAUUCUCAAGUAUAGUAUGAAAUAGGGAUUUGAAACGAGAUUUAUUUUCUUUUCCAAAUUACUGACCAGUCUUACAAGGAGGAUACCAGGGACGGCAUCUCUAAUCAGCUGAACCAUGAAGCCACGUCUUAUGAAACACGAACAAGGCUGGCUGAAGUUUGGUGGAAUUAACAGUUUGGCAGAUGACGGGAGAAGCAGCAGAUGUCACAUCGUUAGGCGCCCCUGAAUUAUUUGUUGCAGCACCUUGAACUUUGAUUGGCACAAGGUGCUCAGCUACCUUCAGUGGCUGGUGAGGUGUGAUGUGUGAGUCAGGGUUUGACAUUAUGGGAACAGUCCUAGUGAAAAGAUUUUUUAAAAAGGUCUGGGAAAAGGAGGGGGGCACUGACGGGGCCCAAAUCUGGUUUACGUAUCAUCUGUAAGAAAUAUGGUGAAUCCAACACUCUGGGAUUAGGAAGAAAUCUUUAGAGGUUUCUGCCCUCAGGCAAGCUAUGCCAAGUGUUGUCACAGGGUAAGCACCUCCCCGACAGGCUCGGGCUGCCAGGUGUCACUGUUCUAACUGCGCAAGACUGGAGCGAGACGCAUUUGCAGACAGGAAGUGCGCCUGGUGGUUGAGGCCAAGAGGAUGUUUCCAGAAAAGGGCCGUGGAUCCAGAAAGCCUGUGUUCCUUGAAUUCUGAGUGGAUACAGGGACCCAUAAGAACCGAUGAAAAAGCAAUCAUCUACGGUCCUGGGCUUUGAAAAAAUCACCCUGAUUAUUUCCUGUACAAAUGCUUUCUAUGGCCUACUCCUACCUGAGACGAAAGUGCCUGAUGGGAGUGUAGGCAGGGGGCAGAGUCCUGGUGAGGAAGAGUGAGAACAGCCAGGGCAACCAGAAAGUAAAGGCAUGGUCGUUAUCACACAAAUGCAGUUAGAAAUGGCUCCCUGCACACGCUGAGCCAGGCUCUCCGUACAAACAGCGGGUGAAUCUCCUCAGACAGAAUCCUCACUGCACGCAUGAUGACAGGUUCACAGGCCUUGCUCAGGCAGACCAGAGGCAAGGUGUUGUUCAGGAUUUCAGAGGCCAGGGGUGGGCCAGGGGGAAGGUGUCGAGGAGGAGAGAGGAGAAACAGACGUUGAAGAUACAAGUCAGGGAGUGCAGUCUUGGGGCGGGCACCAGUCUGAGUCCUGCCACUCAGGCAGAAACCCGUGUAGAUAAGGUGGCUUUGCAGGAGCUGUCCCGUCUCUGCCUGGUGACAGCAGGCAGGCCUAAAAUGAUAAAGCUGGGCCGGCCCCCCUGCGUUCUGGAAACAGAGGUGGGGGUGGGGCGAGGCAGAGUGGUGAGGUGGGCAGAGUGGCACAGGCCUCAGGGGAUCCAGACAGGGAUGCCUGGAGGGACCCUGGGAGUCACCUAAGCUCUCUGAGCUGAUGUCUUCAUAGGGGCGACAGUCCCACCCGCCCCAGAUGGUUGAGGCUAUUAGAGCUUCGGUUUAA
ensembl:lncRNA